GACUGGCGCAGAGUAAGGGACAGCAGAACACCCUGAGCAGCAGCCUUGGGGCCCAAAGCCCCCACAAACCUCUCCCUAUCAGCUGGCCCACAGAGAAAGUCUGUGGCAACCAGCAGGCCCAGCCUGACGGGGGCUGCUGGAGACCGCACCCGUUGUGGUCCAUGCCCCUGCCCAGCGAGGCCCAGCGUCCCAAGGAGUGUGGGCUCUUGGGACAGGCACCACUGAAGCAAGCUCAACCAGGUGUGCAGGUCCUUCCCUGUCCUCCACAAUUCGUCCUCAGGGGCUUCUCCACCUCUCGCCCCAUCCCUCCUCCAGCAGCCUCUUCACUUUGCACACUUCUGCCGCGAGCUACCCUCUGCAGAACCCCAGGAUCCUGUGCUUCCACCUCACCGUUCACCUGUCUCCCUGGUAACUUCAACAUCCUUGCAGAAUGACCCACUAGGCAGUGACACAACCUCGCCCCGUCUCAUCUCCAGGACUCGCCUCCCUCCUGGCUGCUGGUCCGCACCUGCUCCCCGACCUCCUGGGCAACUCUCCACUGUGCCCGCCUGUGACGCUUCUCAACGAGGCUCCACUUACAUGUUGCUCCCCAUCGCCCUGCCCACUGCCCUUCAGACGCCCUGGGCUGAACAACCCCCAAGCCUAGGAACGUGCCCCCCGUACUUGGGCUAAACAGAGUUUCGCUCUUGUUGCCCAGGCUGGAGUGCAGUGGCAUGAUCUCGGCUCACCGCAAUCUCUGCCUCCCAGGUUCAAGCGAUUCUCCUGCCUCAGCCUCCUGAGUAGCUGGGAUUACAGGCAUGUGCCACCACACCCGGCUAAUUUUAUAUUUGUAGUAGAGACAGGGUUUCUCCAUGUUGGUCAGGCUGGUCUCGAAUUCCCGACCUCAGGUGAUCUGCCCGCCUCGGCCUUCCAAAGUGCUGGGAUUACAGGCAUGAGCCACCGUGCCCGGCCUACUAGUGUUUUAUCUUUGAUUCUCCGUCAGCCCUCACCCCUGGUUCUCGCCUUUCUUGAUCAACACCUUUUCUUGCCUCUGUCCCCCUUCUCUCCCUGUAUCUCUCACUCCCCUCCAACCUGGGGGACAGUGGUGUGCAGGAGGAACCAUAGGCCUGAGAGUCCAUCUGCACUCCUUCCUGGAGCCCAGAGGCAGGAGAAGGGGGUGGCGUCUCCAGCCCCCUGGCACUGAGGAAAAAUGGGGCUCCUCUCACUCCACCUUUCCCUUCCUUCCCUGCACCAGGACUGGGCCACUUCUGGGUGGGGCGGUGGGUCCCAGAUUGGCUCACACUGAGAAUGUAUGAACUGCAAACAAAAUUUCUAUUAAGUUUUCUGUCUCAAAAAAAAAAAGCAGGGGGAUGAAGAAAAGAGCCCCAUCUGCCUGGGCAGUAAAUACGAGGCUGAAAGAUA